rnacentral:lncRNA from 1 species
AAUUGUGCCACAUUAGCAGCCACGUUAGCAGCCCGGUCAGCAGCUCCGGCCAACCAGGACACGCCGCGUGGUAGAGACGCUGAUGCGGAAAGGCCACGCGAAACGGGCCACGUGGGCGAUCUGCGUGCGCGCGAUUGGACGGCUGAGAUCCGUUCCCGCGUGCACGGAUGACCUAGAUCAAAUGUCCGCACAGACGGCCCAGAUUGUACGUGUGCGAACG